ensembl:lncRNA
AGUCCCAGAGGAGUUUGUGUCGCGGUGGUCAUUCGCCGAUGACCUGAGCCAGCGCUGGUUCAACGGUAAAACAGGAAGUGUGUUGCCAAGCUCUGAUCUGAUUGGCCCACGCUCCCAGGACCUGACUAAUGGGAGCAAUGGGAGAGCACAGGAGGCAGAGCUAAGCUGGUUCAACAAAAACCUGAGUGCUCCGCAACAUGACCACUUCAGAUUUCGACAGCCUUCUUUGGACCUGCAGACUGGAGGAGUGUUCGGGAGAUGGAUGGACCGAAGACAUGACUUGAGCGAAGAGUCCAGCGGCUGAGGUGCAGAGGAAGUUGAAGAAGGACCCGUCACAAUAAGAGCUCAUCAAACCAGGCUUUUAUUUUGGCAGCACAGACUCCACUGGACAAAUCAGAAAUUGAAAAGACAAGGAGGUUUGGGUCAUGAUCUGGGAAAAAAAA